rnacentral:rRNA from 1 species
UUGAUGGCGACCGGCGCACGGGUGAGUAACACGUAUCCAACCUUCCGUUUACUCAGGGAUAGCCUUUCGAAAGAAAGAUUAAUACCUGAUAGUAUGGUGAGAUUGCAUGAUAACACCAUUAAAGAUUUAUUGGUAAACGAUGGGGAUGCGUUCCAUUAGGUAGUAGGCGGGGUAACGGCCCACCUAGCCUGCGAUGGAUAGGGGUUCUGAGAGGAAGGUCCCCCACAUUGGAACUGAGACACGGUCCAAACUCCUACGGGAGGCAGCAGUGAGGAAUAUUGGUCAAUGGGCGAGAGCCUGAACCAGCCAAGUAGCGUGAAGGAUGAAGGUCCUACGGAUUGUAAACUUCUUUUAUACGGGAAUAAAGUUUCCUACGUGUAGGAUUUUGUAUGUACCGUAUGAAUAAGCAUCGGCUAACUCCGUGCCAGCAGCCGCGGUAAUACGGAGGAUGCGAGCGUUAUCCGGAUUUAUUGGGUUUAAAGGGAGCGCAGACGGGAGAUUAAGUCAGUUGUGAAAGUUUGCGGCUCAACCGUAAAAUUGCAGUUGAUACUGGUUUCCUUGAGUGCAGUUGAGGCAGGCGGAAUUCGUGGUGUAGCGGUGAAAUGCUUAGAUAUCACGAA